GGCUCUAUAGUGUAGUGGUUAGCACAUCUGCUUUACACGCAGAAGGUCCUGGGUUCGCGCCCCAGGUGAAGCUA
rnacentral:tRNA from 1 species